UCAUGUCAUGUACUGAGCCUCUACGUGGCGAAAGGGAUCAACAGACAAAAGUCUGGCUAAUCAGUA
rnacentral:ribozyme from 1 species